rnacentral:lncRNA from 1 species
GUCGGCCAGGCUGGUCUCAAGCUCCUGACCUGAAGGGUACACAAAACUACUGAGUGAAAGAAAAUGCUAGAUGCGGGAAAGCCCAUCCAACCCAGCUCCUUACUUUGCAGGUUCAUAUUCUAAAGAGAGCAGGCACUGAGCAAACGUUUGUUGAACUGAACCGAUCUGCUUGUUACGGGGAUGUGACCUCUACUUUAUGGUGUCAAACUAAACAAACACAUACUUCUCCAGACAAAUACUGAAACCGGUGAACUUCAAAAUAAGGUCUUCACAGAAUGAGAGGCAUAGCAACACUCAUGACCCCAGGCUAGUUCUGUUCUUUGCCAGUGUGUGGUUUGGGAGCUCUGUGAAGUGUUUGCAGUCGCUACUAAUAAUCCAGGUGACAUGACAAACAUUGCCAUUCCCUUGGUCCGGAACAAAUAGAGGAGGGCUCACUCGUAAGCAGCAUCUGAGCAACAGGCUCACCAGACAUCAGCCUCUUCACUCCGACUCUUCCAAACUCCAGCUCUCUUCAUUAAGAUAUUCUGGAAGCAACUGAAGAGUUUCUACAAACGUUUUGGAAAUUACAGGUGAAAUAUAUGUGUUUCCUUUUCUCCUUGCCUUUUUGAUACGGAAUGAUAACGAAAAUUUAAGUUUUUAUAAUUAGGCUUUUUAAAAGGGAAGAGAUCUUUAACUUUCAUUUAAAUGUGGAAAAUUGCUUAAUGGUAUGGAAAAUAUGCCAAAGAUGGUAAAGCAAGCAGGGAAGGCCUGCGCUAGAUAACUCUGUGUCUUGGUUGCUGUGGGGAAGGUGAGUGAACCAUUUUUCCUGUGAGGCAUUUUUGCAGAUAUUUGUAAGGUAUUGUAGCUUUGAGAAGGAGUUUGGACAAAUGUCCUCAUGGCCUGUACAUGUGGGCCAUGUAUAGGACUCGUGAUUUGAUCUUUAAGGCCUGGGGAAGCCCCUGGAGG